rnacentral:rRNA from 1 species
GACGAACGCUGGCGGCGUGCUUAACACAUGCAAGUCGAACGGAAAGGCCCUGCUUUUGUGGGGUGCUCGAGUGGCGAACGGGUGAGUAACACGUGAGUAACCUGCCCUUGACUUUGGGAUAACUUCAGGAAACUGGGGCUAAUACCGGAUAGGAGCUCCUGCUGCAUGGUGGGGGUUGGAAAGUUUCGGCGGUUGGGGAUGGACUCGCGGCUUAUCAGCUUGUUGGUGGGGUAGUGGCUUACCAAGGCUUUGACGGGUAGCCGGCCUGAGAGGGUGACCGGCCACAUUGGGACUGAGAGACGGCCGAGACUCCUACGGGAGGCAGCAGUGGAGAAUAUUGCACAAUGGGCGGAAGCCUGAUGCAGCAACGCCGCGUGCGGGAUGACGGCCUUCGGGUUGUAAACCGCUUUCGCCUGUGACGAAGCGUGAGUGACGGUAAUGGGUAAAGAAGCACCGGCUAACUACG